rnacentral:rRNA from 1 species
UCCAGAGGUCUCGAGCGUUAGGCGGAAUCACUGGGCUUAAAGCGUGUGUAGGCGGAUCGUUAAGUGCCUUGUGAAAUCCCACGGCUCAACCGUGGAACUGCUUGGCAUACUGGCGGUCUUGAGCAACCUAGGGGCGAGCGGAACAAAUGGUGGAGCGGUGAAAUGCGUAGAUAUCAUUUGGAACGCCAAUGGUGAAAACAGCUCGCUGGGGGUUUGCUGACGCUGAGACACGAAAGCCAGGGGAGCAAACGGG